UACGUAGGGGGCAAGCGUUGUCCGGAAUCAUUGGGCGUAAAGAGCGUGUAGGCGGCCUGAUAAGUCGGCUGUGAAAGUCAAGGGCUCAACCCUUGAAUGCCGGCCGAUACUGUCAGGCUAGAGUCCGGAAGAGGAGAGUGGAAUUCCUGGUGUAGCGGUGAAAUGCGCAGAUAUCAGGAAGAACACCAAUGGCGAAAGCAGCUCUCUGGGACGGUACUGACGCUGAGACGCGAAAGCGUGGGGAGCGAACAGG
rnacentral:rRNA from 1 species